rnacentral:rRNA from 1 species
CAUGGGGUGCAAACGUUGCUCGGAAUCAUUGGGCGUAAAGCGCGCGUAGGCGGUUACUUAAGUCGGAUGUGAAAGCCUUCGGCUUAACUGAGGAAGUGCAUCCGAAACUGAGUAGCUAGAGUACGAAAGAGGGUCGCGGAAUUCCCGGUGUAGAGGUGAAAUUCGUAGAUAUCGGGAGGAACACCGGUGGCGAAGGCGGCGACCUGGGUCGAGACUGACGCUGAUGCGCGAAAGCGUGGGGAGCAAACAGGAUUAGAUACCCUGGUAGUCCACGCCGUAAACGAUGGGUGCUAGAUGUUUCUGGUAUUGACCCCGGAGGCGUCGUAGCUAACGCGUUAAGCACCCCGCCUGGGGAGUACGGCCGCAAGGCUA